AACCUGUGAUGAAAAGAUUCUGCCAAAUGAACUCUGAUUAUAAACAUUACCGUUCCAUCUUUCUGAGCUU